AAUUGUGUAUGUUCUAUAUUGUAUGGUUUUACUUGUUCAAACCAUUUUAUUCCUAAUAUUAUAUCUGCUUUUUGCAUUUCUUCCUUUAUUUCAAAUUCUAUUUUUAUUUUUCUGACUCCUAGGAGUGCCUCUCGAUCUAGUGCCUCUGGCGACGAGUUCGCCUGAAAGUGCUAACCUGGAGUGCCUCUCGAUCUAGUCUCUCUCUCCCUUCGCUACUCUCCACCUCUCUCUCUGUUCGAUGUGUGUGCUGCGAGAUUUCUGAGUGUAGUAUGUGGGUGUACGGUGGUGAAUCAAAGAGAAUCAAGUGAUUGAGUAUCUCCUUUUUCGUUUUAUCCCUGAUAUGUGUGUAUUGAUGUAUGAAGAAAAGGGUAUGUCUGUUCAAUCAUGUUGCUGGGUGGAAAAUUUUUUGUGUAUGGGUAGGUAUUCUGGGAAGGUCUUGUAUGCAUAUGGGUUUCGUGAGUGUAUGUGAGGUGUCUUAUUUUUUGUUGUUUAUGUGUUGGUUAAAAGGAAUCAACAAUGUGAGGGGUGGUGACGUGAGUGGGGGAUGGGGUAGUGGUAGGGUAGGUGAGGUGUAAGUUGGUUAGAAUAAAGUGAAAAAUGGCUAUUCUUGAUUGGGAAGGUUGUUAUAACUUUGUUAUUUUUUGUCUUUUUGUAGGGUAUAAUUAUAUGGACGAGGGUACACAGUAGAAUAAGGUAAAUAGGCAAAAAAUAUCUUUUGGAGGGACAAAAUUACGUGUCUACAGCAUGCCCCCUUUGAAUGUAAAUACAAAGUAUUUUCAGACAAAGAAGUAGACAAUGAGACAGAAUUUUAUCCCAACCAUUAGUCAAAAGAAUGAAACAGAAGGAGGGAGGGAGGCCAAGUCUUGAUAUAGCCUAUCCUACCUGCCCAAGUUAUAAGGGAAUCAAGUCUCGGGUAUCUCAAAGGAUUGGAAAGAGAAGGACUAUACCGAGUUGGAGAGUCGAGUGAGGUUCCAUCGAGGUUUUGGUCGCGGCUCUGUCAUUACAUCAAAAAUGACAAAAUUACAAGAGUUCAAAAGAUAAAUAAAAUUACAAAAGUCCUAUCUAUGCAGCUUCUUUUGAACUCUUGACUUGAGUUUCAUCACCCUAUUCUUUAGGCGGGCUCCUGACUUGCAAUUUCUUCAACUUGUUGACUACUUUAAGUUUCUUCACUCUGUUCUCCAAGUGGGCUCCUGACUUGCUAUUUUUCAAUCUGUUAACUUUCAACUUAUUUGCCCUGCUCUUCAGGCGGGAUCCUGACUUUCCGUUUCAUCAACUUUCAAUUACAUCACCCUGUUCUUCAGGCGGACGCCUGAGCUUCAAUUUUAUCACCCCAUUUUUCAGAUGGGCUCCUGACUUUCAAUUUCAUCACCCUAUUCUUCAGGCGGGCUCCUAAACAAAAAUCAAAACUAGAACGAAAAUUAAUCAAAAUCAAAACUAUAACUAAAAAUAUCCCACACAAGGAUUAUCAUAAGGCAAUAUUUCAUUUUUGAAAGCGUGGUGCCAUUUUUCAGGAGGGACCCAAACAAAAAGUAAAAUCUCAUUUUUUAGGAGGGUCCUGAACAGAAAGUAAAAUCUCAUUUUUCGGGAGGGUCCUGAACAGAAAAUAAAAUCCCAUUUUUCAGGAAGGCCCUGAACAGAAAGUAAAAGCCCAUUUUUUAGGAGGGUCCUGAAUAGAAAGUAAAAGCCCAUUUUUUAGGAGGGUCCUGAACAUAAAGUGAAAUCCCAUUUUUCAAGAGGGUCCUGAAUAUAAAGUAAAAUCCCAUUUUUCAGGAGGAUCCUGAACAGAAAGUAAAAUCUUAUUUUUCAGGAGGGUCCUGAACAUAAAGUAAAAUUCCAAUUUCCAGAAGGGUCCUGAACAUAAAGUAAAAUCCCAUUUUCCAAGAGGGUCCUGAACAGAAAGCAAAAUCCCAUUUUUCAGGAGGGGCCUGAACAGAAAAUAAAAUCCUAUUUUUCAGGAGGGUCCUGAACAGAAAAUAAAAUCCUAUUUUUCAGGAGGGUCCUGAACAGAAAAUAAAAUCCUAUUUUUCAGGAGGGUCCUGAACAGAAAAUAAAAUCCUAUUUUUCAGGAGGGUCCUGAACAGAAAAUAAAAUCCUAUUUUUCAGGAGGGUCCUGAACAGAAAAUAAAAUCCUAUUUUUCAGGAGGGUCCUGAACAGAAAAUAAAAUCCUAUUUUUCAGGAGGGUCCUGAACAGAAAAUAAAAUCCUAUUUUUCAGGAGGGUCCUGAACAGAAAAUAAAAUCCUAUUUUUCAGGAGGGUCCUGAACAGAAAAUAAAAUCCUAUUUUUCAGGAGGGUCCUGAACAGAAAAUAAAAUCCUAUUUUUCAGGAGGGUCCUGAACAGAAAAUAAAAUCCUAUUUUUCAGGAGGGUCCUGAACAGAAAAUAAAAUCCUAUUUUUCAGGAGGGUCCUGAACAGAAAAUAAAAUCCUAUUUUUCAGGAGGGUCCUGAACAGAAAAUAAAAUCCUAUUUUUCAGGAGGGUCCUGAACAGAAAAUAAAAUCCUAUUUUUCAGGAGGGUCCUGAACAGAAAAUAAAAUCCUAUUUUUCAGGAGGGUCCUGAACAGAAAAUAAAAUCCUAUUUUUCAGGAGGGUCCUGAACAGAAAAUAAAAUCCUAUUUUUCAGGAGGGUCCUGAACAGAAAAUAAAAUCCUAUUUUUCAGGAGGGUCCUGAACAGAAAAUAAAAUCCUAUUUUUCAGGAGGGUCCUGAACAGAAAAUAAAAUCCUAUUUUUCAGGAGGGUCCUGAACAGAAAAUAAAAUCCUAUUUUUCAGGAGGGUCCUGAACAGAAAAUAAAAUCCUAUUUUUCAGGAGGGUCCUGAACAGAAAAUAAAAUCCUAUUUUUCAGGAGGGUCCUGAACAGAAAAUAAAAUCCUAUUUUUCAGGAGGGUCCUGAACAGAAAAUAAAAUCCUAUUUUUCAGGAGGGUCCUGAACAGAAAAUAAAAUCCUAUUUUUCAGGAGGGUCCUGAACAGAAAAUAAAAUCCUAUUUUUCAGGAGGGUCCUGAACAGAAAAUAAAAUCCUAUUUUUCAGGAGGGUCCUGAACAGAAAAUAAAAUCCUAUUUUUCAGGAGGGUCCUGAACAGAAAAUAAAAUCCUAUUUUUCAGGAGGGUCCUGAACAGAAAAUAAAAUCCUAUUUUUCAGGAGGGUCCUGAACAGAAAAUAAAAUCCUAUUUUUCAGGAGGGUCCUGAACAGAAAAUAAAAUCCUAUUUUUCAGGAGGGUCCUGAACAGAAAAUAAAAUCCUAUUUUUCAGGAGGGUCCUGAACAGAAAAUAAAAUCCUAUUUUUCAGGAGGGUCCUGAACAGAAAAUAAAAUCCUAUUUUUCAGGAGGGUCCUGAACAGAAAAUAAAAUCCUAUUUUUCAGGAGGGUCCUGAACAGAAAAUAAAAUCCUAUUUUUCAGGAGGGUCCUGAACAGAAAAUAAAAUCCUAUUUUUCAGGAGGGUCCUGAACAGAAAAUAAAAUCCUAUUUUUCAGGAGGGUCCUGAACAGAAAAUAAAAUCCUAUUUUUCAGGAGGGUCCUGAACAGAAAAUAAAAUCCUAUUUUUCAGGAGGGUCCUGAACAGAAAAUAAAAUCCUAUUUUUCAGGAGGGUCCUGAACAGAAAAUAAAAUCCUAUUUUUCAGGAGGGUCCUGAACAGAAAAUAAAAUCCUAUUUUUCAGGAGGGUCCUGAACAGAAAAUAAAAUCCUAUUUUUCAGGAGGGUCCUGAACAGAAAAUAAAAUCCUAUUUUUCAGGAGGGUCCUGAACAGAAAAUAAAAUCCUAUUUUUCAGGAGGGUCCUGAACAGAAAAUAAAAUCCUAUUUUUCAGGAGGGUCCUGAACAGAAAAUAAAAUCCUAUUUUUCAGGAGGGUCCUGAACAGAAAAUAAAAUCCUAUUUUUCAGGAGGGUCCUGAACAGAAAAUAAAAUCCUAUUUUUCAGGAGGGUCCUGAACAGAAAAUAAAAUCCUAUUUUUCAGGAGGGUCCUGAACAGAAAAUAAAAUCCUAUUUUUCAGGAGGGUCCUGAACAGAAAAUAAAAUCCUAUUUUUCAGGAGGGUCCUGAACAGAAAAUAAAAUCCUAUUUUUCAGGAGGGUCCUGAACAGAAAGUAAAAUCCCAUUUUUCAUGAGGGUCCUGAAUAUAAAGUAAAUUUCCAUUUUUCAGGAAGGUCCUGAACAAAAAGUACAAUCCCAUUUUCCAGGAGGGUCCUGAACAGAAAGUAAAAUCUUAUUUCCCCAAGAGGGUCCUGAACAGAAAGUAAAAUCCCAUUUUUCAGGAGGGUCCUGAANNNN
rnacentral:lncRNA from 1 species